ensembl:miRNA mdo-mir-196a mdo-mir-196a
UAGGUAGUUUCCUGUUGUUGGGCCUAGAUUUCUAAACACAAGAACAUCAAACCACCUGAU